AACGCGAAGAACCUUACCUACCCUUGACAUGUACGGAAGCCCGAUGAGAGUUGGGUGUGCCCGAAAGGGAGCCGUAACACAGGUGCUGCAUGGCUGUCGUCAGCUCGUGUCGUGAGAUGUUGGGUUAAGUCCCGCAACGAGCGCAACCCUUGUCAUUAAUUGCCAUCAUUUGGUUGGGCACUUUAAUGAGACUGCCGGUGACAAACCGGAGGAAGGUGGGGAUGACGUCAAGUCCUCAUGGCCCUUAUGGGUAGGGCUUCACACGUAAUACAAUGGCCGGUACAGAGGGCUGCCAACCCGCGAGGGGGAGCUAAUCUCAGAAAGCCGGUCGUAGUCCGGAUUGUUCUCUGCAACUCGAGAGCAUGAAGUCGGAAUCGCUAGUAAUCGCGGAUCAGCAUGUCGCGGUGAAUACGUUCCCGGGCCUUGUA
rnacentral:rRNA from 1 species